GAUGAACGCUGGCGGCGUGCCUAAUACAUGCAAGUCGAGCGAACGGACGAGAAGCUUGCUUCUCUGAUGUUAGCGGCGGACGGGUGAGUAACACGUGGAUAACCUACCUAUAAGACUGGGAUAACUUCGGGAAACCGUAGCUAAUACCGGAUAAUAUUUUGAACCGCAUGGUUCAAAAGUGAAAGACGGUCUUGCUGUCACUUAUAGAUGGAUCCGCGCUGCAUUAGCUAGUUGGUAAGGUAACGGCUUACCAAGGCAACGAUGCAUAGCCGACCUGAGAGGGUGAUAGGCCACACUGGAACUGAGACACGGUCCAGACUCCUACGGGAGGCAGCAGUAGGGAAUCGUCCGCAAUGGGCGAAAGCCUGACGGAGCAACGCCGCGUGAGUGAUGAAGGUCUUCGGAUCGUAAAACUCUGUUAUUAGGGAAGAACAUAUGUGUAAGUAACUGUGCACAUCUUGACGGUACCUAAUCAGAAAGCCACGGCUAACUACGUG
rnacentral:rRNA from 1 species